CAGCAGUCGCCGCGGUAAUACGGAGGGAGCUAGCGUUGUUCGGAAUUACUGGGCGUAAAGCGCGCGUAGGCGGUUACUCAAGUCAGAGGUGAAAGCCCGGGGCUCAACCCCGGAACUGCCUUUUAAACUAGGUGACUAGAAUCUUGGAGAGGUCAGUGGAAUUCCGAGUGUAGAGGUGAAAUUCGUAGAUAUUCGGAAGAACACCAGUGGCGAAGGCGACUGACUGGACAAGUAUUGACGCUGAGGUGCGAAAGCGUGGGGAGCAAACAGGAUUAGAUACCCCAGUAGUCCCUGUCUCUUAUAC
rnacentral:rRNA from 1 species